UCUCAAGUACAUAUUAUGUACUUUUUUUAAAAUUUUAUUUUUUACUGCAUUGUUUAUGCAUAUCUUUUCCGACGUACCAACCAAGGUGUCAAGUACGUGGUUCGUAGUUCAUCGUAUCUACACCAUAUUCAAGGCCAAUGAUUGCCGUGACAUAUUUUAUUAAUCAUUAAAAUAUAUUCUGUUUAUAAAUGCAAUAUUGUUUUUGUAACAAAAUUGAUGAUCGCUACUUACUAUUAUUGCUGUUCGUUCUGCGAAUCUAAAUGUUAAGUUGUUGAUGUUGCUAUUCUUCGUUUUAUUUGUUUUGUUAUUCCAGACAAUGUUUGGCGCCAUCGAAGGUAUUUUCUACUGAGUGGUCCCGGCGUGCAGGCCAACUUUAUUAGUUUUUAUUGUAUUAAUUAUAUUGUAC